rnacentral:rRNA from 1 species
AAAUCAACUUUAUAACGGCGUAAAGAGUGGUCACAUGCUAUCCAAGUAACUAAGAUCAAAAAGCAACUGAGUUGUCGCAAGCCCAAGAUGCGCAUAAGGCCGCUAUUCAAAGAAAAUCUUAGACUACCGAUUAAUUGAAGCCACGAAAGCCAGGACCCAAACUGGGAUUAGAUACCCCACUAUGCCUGGCCCUAAAUCUUGAUGCUCGAUCUAACCGGAGCAUCCGCCAGAGAACUACGAGCACAAACGCUUAAAACUCUAAGGACUUGGCGGUGCUCCAAACCCACCUAGAGGAGCCUGUCCUGUAAUCGAUGAUCCACGAUAUACCUGACCAUCUCUUGCCAAAAACAGCCUAUAUACCGCCGUCUCCAGCCCACCCACCAUGAAGGCCCAACA